ensembl:ncRNA Y82E9BR.30 ncRNA
GAAAACCAGUGAUUUUUGUGCGAAACAAAUCUGCAGCGAAGCACAGAACGACGGCCGCCCGUCUCUCCGACGGGCAGCUCUACGGGCAGAGGGACGCAGCGGGUCUCGCCACGCUCGUGAGUACGGUAGAUGGGCGGGGCUUGGC